rnacentral:tRNA from 1 species
CGGAGCGUGGCGCAGCUUGGUAGCGCACCUGCUUUGGGAGCAGGAUGUCGGAGGUUCAAAUCCUCUCGCUCCGACCA